CCUGCUCAGAUUGAACGCUGGCGGCAGGCUUAACACAUGCAAGUCGAGCGGGGGAAGGUAGCUUGCUACCGGACCUAGCGGCGGACGGGUGAGUAAUGCUUAGGAAUCUGCCUAUUAGUGGGGGACAACAUCUCGAAAGGGAUGCUAAUACCGCAUACGUCCUACGGGAGAAAGCAGGGGAUCUUCGGACCUUGCGCUAAUAGAUGAGCCUAAGUCGGAUUAGCUAGUUGGUGGGGUAAAGGCCUACCAAGGCGACGAUCUGUAGCGGGUCUGAGAGGAUGAUCCGCCACACUGGGACUGAGACACGGCCCAGACUCCUACGGGAGGCAGCAGUGGGGAAUAUUGGACAAUGGGGGGAACCCUGAUCCAGCCAUGCCGCGUGUGUGAAGAAGGCCUUAUGGUUGUAAAGCACUUUAAGCGAGGAGGAGGCUACUUUAGUUAAUACCUAGAGAUAGUGGACGUUACUCGCAGAAUAAGCACCGGCUAACUCUGUGCCAGCAGCCGCGGUAAUACAGAGGGUGCGAGCGUUAAUCGGAUUUACUGGGCGUAAAGCGUGCGUAGGCGGCUUAUUAAGUCGGAUGUGAAAUCCCCGAGCUUAACUUGGGAAUUGCAUUCGAUACUGGUGAGCUAGAGUAUGGGAGAGGAUGGUAGAAUUCCAGGUGUAGCGGUGAAAUGCGUAGAGAUCUGGAGGAAUACCGAUGGCGAAGGCAGCCAUCUGGCCUAAUACUGACGCUGAGGUACGAAAGCAUGGGGAGCAAACAGGAUUAGAUACCCUGGUAGUCCAUGCCGUAAACGAUGUCUACUAGCCGUUGGGGCCUUUGAGGCUUUAGUGGCGCAGCUAACGCGAUAAGUAGACCGCUGGAGACGACGU
rnacentral:rRNA from 1 species